AUUGAUUAAAGCAAUAUGAGCUGCAAUUUUCAUGAUGAGAUUUUUUUAAACGAAAAUGUUAUUUUCUACUAAAACGACAAAAACAUCAUGGUUUUUAAAUUUCUUUUCACCAAAUUUUUGUGAAAAGGGCCAUGAAAGAGCCUUAAUAGGAGCGAAAUUGAAUUAUUGUCGUCCUGUGCAAAAAUUGAUUUGCUAUAUGAUCCUUAGAAGAGAUAUCUUUCCUCUGACAAAAAUUAAUGUUUUUUUCCAACCUUAUUUAUCAUAAAAGUUUAAGUUACAUGCAGACUUAGCAUACUAACAGGUUUUUACAGCAAAAUAAAAUUCUAAAAAAUACAGCUCAUAUUGCUUUAAGGAAUCGAGAUUUGUGAUGAAAUAAAGUCGAACUCUUACAAAAUUAUCAAUAUAAUUGGUUCAAUUAUUUCAUGAAUGAACCUGUUUUUGUAUGAUUUGUUGAGACUUUUAAGGGCAUUUCUGAGUAAUUAUGUAUUUAUUCUAAAAGAACCCCUUGUUGUGCAACUGAUGAGCUAUUUAACGAGAGAUAGAUGUGUUUAUACUUGUAUUAUAUUGAGUGUUAUAUAUACUGUUAUUGCCCAUAAUGAACAUCCAAAAUAAAAUAAAGUUUUAUCAG
rnacentral:misc_RNA from 1 species